CGCCCUCUGGUGGCCGGGUCGCGUUAGGCCGGUACCACUGACCCUUGAGUCCUAGGAUUUAAAGCCACUGAGAAGCUGUCCAGAGCUGGGACCCCCACCUGCCUAGGGACUACAGGCCCCGGCUGGUGUACCAGCACCGAGCAUCACAGCCCCCCAAAGAGUAAGGAGGAAGAGGAGAGGGGCUGAGGAAGCAGGAUCCGCUGUAAAGGAGUAGACAAGAUUGACAGUGUGCACCAGAUGGAGAAGAUGGAGAAGAGCGCUUUUAACGGUAAAAUAAGUGCUAGAGAAGUUAUGAGAAGCUGUUUGACUUCUUCUGUAUCUUUGGUGUUCCUAAAACUGAAGGCAGAGUAAAGCCGAAGCCCUAGAAAGCUCAGAAAAUCAGAAACCCAGCAGCAUUGCCCUGCGACGGCACUCUCUUUCGAGCAGCUGUGGCCCAGAUGUGGAGUUUGAAAUUAUCCUCCCUUCAACCCUGGGGUGUGGUUGCUGUCCCUGCAGGGCUGACCACCAGCCAGACCUCAAGAGCACCUGGCAUCUUCUGGACAGAAAUUAGAAUGACAGCUACCAGAAACAUUCCCCAACGCAGCUGGGAAGACCCAAGAGUACUUCUGUCAUUCAGUGGCACCUGGCUGCAUUCCAAUGCACCUCUUCUGUGGCUCUGCUCGCAAACAUGGCUAUUUCUGAUCACUCUCCUCCCCUUCACUGCCUGAUGUUUUCAAAGAGCAGCCUGCCCUGUUCAACUUCCCCAUGUUACUUUAAUUCCUGUGUUCUGAAAGAAGGUCACCAGGAAAACCUCAAAUGCCAAAUCCAGUGUGCUGGUUUUCAGACCUUACUCCUGCCACCUUUCCGAGGAAACUCCCCCCCGCCCCCGCCCCGGGUCCUGAACCCCGUUACCUCGGAGCACUGUUUCAGGCUCCUUUUCCUUCUUCAUCCUCCCUUUAAUGUUGGAAUCAUUGCAUCCUUGACCGAGACUGCGUCUCUUCUCCCAGAGCAGUUUCGUCUGUCUGUCCAUCCCACUCAAACUGGUAGCCGGGACUUCUCUCUUGAGCUGAGACUCUGUGAUUCUGCUGCCACUGCACCUCAUGCCUCAGGCAUGGGGGCCCAGGCACCUUCUUCCCUUAACAGCAGGCUCCAGCCCUUAACAGCACUGUGUGGAGGGCAAAGCUUCCCACGUAGGAAGCCUAGACAGCCAGCUCACACCCCAACUCUAGCAUGUGUUCUUUCAAGCUAACGUUCUACUCACAGUAAACCACACCUCAGCACACAGAACACCGGGAAGGGAGUCUUCACUGGGAUUUUCAACCCUCCAUGCCCGUCCACACUCUGAUUUCUGUUUAGAUUGCCUCCCUCCCUCACUUCCCUCAUCAACUAUUCACUCUACACCCAGUCAGCAAGUCACUUCAGCCGCCAUUUAUUCCUGGAUAAAGACUGGAACCCUGGUGAGCUGGGAAACAGAGACGACCCAGAUGUUUGAGAGAACCUGACACAAUGAGAAUCAUUUACAUCCUCUAAAUUAUACUAGCAUCCUCUAAAUUACACUAGCAUCCUCUAAAUUAUACUCCCUUUCCCCCCCAAAAAAAGGGGGAGGGAAAAAUAAAACAUUUUUCAUUUGUA